GCCGCUGACAGCGCGCGCGUCCCGGCCUCACCUGCGCGCGGGUGUCCGAGGUGGCGCACGUCCGGAGCGGCUCCGCACAGCCAGGGCGUCCCAGCCGCGAGCUUCCGACAGCCGCUGGCCUCCAGGAGCAACCGCGCCGCCAGCACGACCAGCGCAUAGCCAUAGCGCGAGUCUGAAAGUCGCGGCGGGCGGUGGCUCCGCCUCUGCCCCAGGCCCAGACCCGGAGCCGGAAGCUGGGCACCGGAAGCGCGAAGCCGCACCCUGUUCCCCACCCGGUUCCCCGCGCGGUCGCCUGUACUCUCUGACCCUCCUCCGAGCCACUGGCUCCGGCCGGUAGCCGCGUCCGCUUUUACCCAGAAAUACGAUCUCGCCGUGUAGACCAGAUUGGCUUUGUGAAGACCAGGUUGGGUUCAAAUUCACCAUCCUGCCUCAGCCUAUUGCUGCUGAGAUUACCGACCUGCGUCCCCGUAUUUGCUAAUGCAAACAGUGCAGCUCAGGAUACACACUAGCAAGAAAAUGUUUUCGUUGUCGUUGUUUCGUUUGUUCGUUUUGCCUGAUGCAUGUCGGAUUUAUUCUAAUAUUGAAACAGCAUUUUUAUAACACUUUCAUCGAAUGAUAUACGUGCUCAUAAUCAUUCUGCCAUAACAGGUGGAGGCAAUGAGAGGUAAUGAAACACCAGGGAGACUGAAGAAACUUACUGUGUUCCCAUGUUGACAUUUUUUCUCAUUCAUUCGUUCGUUCAUUCAUUUUACAUCUCGACCGUAUCACCCCCGUCUCCUCGCAGUUCCCCUCCUAGGAAGAAAUAAACCAGCUGUAAUU